rnacentral:rRNA from 1 species
UACGUAGGGUGCGAGCGUUAAUCGGAAUUACUGGGCGUAAAGCGUGCGCAGGCGGUUCGUUAAGUUCGUUGUGAAAGCCCCGGGCUCAACCUGGGAGGUGCAAUGGAAACUGGCGAACUGGAGUGCGGCAGAGGGGGGUGGAAUUCCACGUGUAGCAGUGAAAUGCGUAGAGAUGUGGAGGAACACCGAUGGCGAAGGCAACCCCCUGGGCUGACACUGACGCUCAGGCACGAAAGCGUGGGGAGCAAACAGG